rnacentral:rRNA from 1 species
UACAGAGGUGGCAAGCGUUGUUCGGAAUUACUGGGCGUAAAGGGCGCGUAGGCGGUCUUCUAAGUCUUGUGUGAAAUCCCUCGGCUUAACUGAGGAACUGCACGGGAUACUGGGAGACUUGAGUUCGGGAGAGGGAAGCGGAAUUCCCGGUGUAGCGGUGAAAUGCGCAGAUAUCGGGAAGAACACCCGUGGCGAAGGCGGUUCUCUGGGACGGUACUGACGCUGAGACGCGAAAGCGUGGGGAGCGAACAGG